rnacentral:rRNA from 1 species
ACCUACGGGGGGCAGCAGUAGGGAAUCUUCCACAAUGGACGAAAGUCUGAUGGAGCAACGCCGCGUGAGUGAAGAAGGGUUUCGGCUCGUAAAGCUCUGUUGGUAGUGAAGAAAGAUAGAGGUAGUAACUGGCCUUUAUUUGACGGUAAUUACUUAGAAAGUCACGGCUAACUACGUGCCAGCAGCCGCGGUAAUACGUAGGUGGCAAGCGUUGUCCGGAUUUAUUGGGCGUAAAGCGAGUGCAGGCGGUUUAAUAAGUCUGAUUUGGAAACCUUCCGCUCCACC